rnacentral:rRNA from 1 species
UACGUAGGGUGCGAGCGUUGUCCGGAAUUAUUGGGCGUAAAGAGCUCGUAGGCGGUGUGUCACGUCGAUCGUGAAAACUUUCAGCUUAACUGGGAGCUUGCGGUCGAUACGGGCAUCGCUGGAGUUCGGCAGGGGAGACUGGAAUUCAAGGUGUAGCGGUGAAAUGCGCAGAUAUCUUGAGGAACACCGGUGGCGAAGGCGGGUCUCUGGGCCGAUACUGACGCUGAGGAGCGGAAGCGUGGGGAGCGAACAGG